AUUGAACGCUGGCGGCAUGCCUUACACAUGCAAGUCGAACGGUAACGGGCCUUCGGGUGCCGACGAGUGGCGAACGGGUGAGUAAUACAUCGGAACGUGCCCGACCGUGGGGGAUAACGAGGCGAAAGCUUUGCUAAUACCGCAUACGAUCUACGGAUGAAAGCAGGGGACCGCAAGGCCUUGCGCGGACGGAGCGGCCGAUGGCAGCUUAGGUAGUUGGUGGGAUAAAAGCUUACCAAGCCGACGAUCUGUAGCUGGUCUGAGAGGAUGAUCAGCCACACUGGGACUGAGACACGGCCCAGACUCCUACGGGAGGCAGCAGUGGGGAAUUGUGGACAAUGGGCGCAAGCCUGAUCCAGCCAUGCCGCGUGCAGGAUGAAGGCCUUUGGGUUGUAAACUGCUUUUGUACGGAACGAAAAGCCUUCUUUUAAUACAGGAGGGUCAUGACGGUACCGUAAGAAUAAGCACCGGCUAACUACGUG
rnacentral:rRNA from 1 species